UGUGGGAGCGAGCUUGCUCGCGAAGGCGUCAGCUCAGUCGGUAUCAAUGUUGUCUGACACUCCGCUAUCGCGAGCAAGCUCGCUCCCACA
rnacentral:antisense_RNA from 1 species